rnacentral:rRNA from 1 species
AACGAACGCUGGCGGCAUGCCUAACACAUGCAAGUCGAACGAGACCACCGGGAGUAGUGGCGCACGGGUGUGUCACGCGGGGGAAGCUGCCCUUAGGCUCGGGAUAACACCCCGACAGGGGUGCUAACACCGGAAAAUGUCCUCGGAUAACAGAUUUAUCGCAUUUGGAUGGGCCCGCGUUGGCUUAACCGGUUGGGAGGGUAAAAGCCGACCAAGGCGUCGAUCCAUAGCUGGGCUGAGAGAAAGGUCCGCCACACUGGGAGUAGGCCACGGCCCGGACUCCUACGGAAUGCAGCAGUGCGUAAUAUUGCACUAUCGGCUGAGUCCUGAUCCAGCAAGGCCUCGUGAGUGAUGAUGGCCUUAGGGUUGUAAAGCUCCUUUACCCGGGAUUAUACUGACGGUACCGAAAGAAUAAGCACCGGCUAACUCCGUG